GGGAACGGUAUUCACCGCGGCAUGGCUGAUCCGCGAUUACUAGUGAUUCCAGCUUCAUGCCGUCGAGUUGCAGACGACAAUCCGAACUGAGGCAAUUUUUACGGGAUUAGCUCCGGCUUGCGCCUUGGCUGCCCUCUGUUACUGCCAUUGUAGCACGUCUCUCGCCCUGGGCGUAAGGGCCAUGAUGACUUGACGUCAUCCCCGCCUUCCUCCGCGUUAUCCGCGGCGGUUUCUCCAGAGUGCCCGGCAUAACCCGAUGGCAACUGAAGACGGGGGUUGCGCUCGUUGCGGGACUUAACCCAACAUCUCACGACACGAGCUGACGACAGCCAUGCAGCACCUGUGCAGAGACCCCGAAGGGAUUUACCGUCUCUGGUACUGUCCUCUGCAUGUCAAGUCUGG
rnacentral:rRNA from 1 species